rnacentral:rRNA from 1 species
UUGCCAGCCCGCUCAGAACUUAAAUGAAUUGACGGGGGCCCGCACAAGGCGAGGAGCAUGUGGUUAAUUCGAUGAUACGCGAGGAACCUUACCUGGGCUCGAACGUAAGAUGACUGUAGGUGAAAGCUUACAUCUCUUCGGAGCAUUUUACGAGGUGCUGCAUGGUUGUCGUCAGCUCGUGCCGUGAGGUGUCGGGUUAAGUCCCAUAACGAGCGCAACCCCUACCUUUAGUUGCCAUCAGGUUAAGCUGGGGACUCUAAAGGAACUGCCUACGCAAGUAGUGAGGAAGGCGGGGAUGACGUCAAAUCAGCACGGCCCUUACGUCCAGGGCUACACACGUGCUACAAUGGCCGAUACAGAGGGCAGCUACCUGGUGACAGGAUGCAAAUCUCCAAAGUCGGUCUCAGUUCGGAUCGGAGUCUGCAACCCGACUCCGUGAAGUUGGAUUCGCUAGUAAUCGCGCAUCAGCCAUGGCGCGGUGAAUACGUUCCCGGGCCUU